rnacentral:rRNA from 1 species
UACUAGAGUAGCACUCGCAUAUCAAUAAGCGGAGGAAAAGAAACUAACAAGGAUUCCCUUAGUAACGGCGAGUGAAGCGGGAAGAGCUCAAAUUUGAAAUCUUCAAGGUUCUACCUUGACGAAUUGUAGUUUAUAGAAGUGUUUUCUGUUAGUAGAGUGGCAAAAGUUCUUUGGAAUAGGACAUCAUAGAGGGUGAGAAUCCCGUAUUUGGUCAUUCUCUUCCUAGCUUUGUGAUACACUUUCAACGAGUCGGAUUGUUUGGGAAUGCAGUCCAAAAUGGGUGGUAAAUUUCAUCUAAAGCUAAAUAUUGGCGAGAGACCGAUAGCGAACAAGUACCGUGAGGGAAAGAUGAAAAGAACUUUGAAAAGAGAGUUAAACAGUACGUGAAAUUGUCAAAAGGGAAGCGUUUGACACCAGUGUUGUUUUUCCGAAAAUCAAUUACGAAUGUUUUGUUUUUGAGGAGUUAUGACUUCAUCGGCUUGCUUCCUUUCUUUACUGAAACUUUCUUAAUGCACUUUUCGGUUAACAAGUCAACAUCAAUUUCUUUUGUUGUAAAAGGGUAUGAGGAAGGUGGCUUUCUUUUCGGAGAAAGUGUUUAUAGCCUUGUGACCUCUGCAAUCGGAGAGAUUGAGGUCUGCAGCGUAGAUCCUUCGGGGUUAGAUACAUUUGUGCUAAGUUAUAGCUUUUCAUAGACAACUUGUUGACUAUGUUAGUCUUGUAGCUUACUCGCUUAUGCUAUUUUACCUACGCUUAGGAUGUUGAUAGUCACAGCGUGUAC